AUGUUUGCAAUUUCCCCAUUUGUGCUUUUUUUGUAUUCAGAGAUUUAUUUAUUUAUUUAUUUUGUUUAUUUUUCAAUCUAUCUAUCUAUCUAUCUAUAUAUAUUGCAUACAGCUGGCAAGGCAGAAAAGCGCGCGCGUUGGCCCAACUCCGAGAGCAGCGCUAAUUGGUGCAGCUGUUGCCGCUCGCGCGCUGCCCGCCUGGGUCAGCGUUCCAUCGCCAGCUGUCCGAAGGGGCGAAAUUCACACUCUCACUCUCUCUCUCUCUCUCACACACACAUACAUAUACACUGUAUUCAGAGAUCCACGCCCCCUCCCACGAGGCGGGAGAGUGCGCGUGCGCGUCCCUCGGGGUCCGCGGGAGGCAGGCGAGUGAGGCAAAGAAGUGGGCGCGCGGCGUUGGCAGCACGCGCGCUUUGGGCUGCUGCUGCUGCUGCCGCCUCCUGACUGACUCAGGAGGAGGAAGAGGAGGAAGAAGAGAAGUUGCCAGCGAUGCCCAGCUGAGGAGAAGCCGGCCAGGUGAGGGGGAAGAGCGGGGGAAAGCCCCAGCCUGCUGUGGAAGCUAGGAAGGCUGGCUGUGCUGGGAAGAAAGGUGGAAGAGUGGGCAAAGAAAUGGGAAAGGGAGGAGGAUUCUGCCUACUUUCUAUGGACCCUUUCUAUAAGCCUUCUGUGGGACAUGCUCUCGCUCAGGCUCAGUCUACAUUGUCAUAUCAUGCAUGCUAUAGUCAGGGUUGAGACCCAUCUAAUGCAGUGUAACCCAUUACAGGCAGUCCUCAAGUUAUGAAUAUAGGUUCAGUAGCUUUGUCCUUAUGCUGAAUGUGUAUGUAUAUCGGGACAAGCACAUUUUUCAGGCAAAAAUAUAGAUACAGUAGAGUCUCACUUAUCCAAGACUCGCUUAGCCAACGUUCUGGAUUAUCCAAUGCCUUUUUGUAGUCGAUGUUUUCAAUACAUUGUGAUAUUUUGGUGCUAAAUUCGUAAAUACAGUAAUUGCAACAUAACAUUACUGCGUAUUGAACUCCUUUUUCUGUCAAAUUUGUUGUAAAACAUGAUGUUUUGGUGCUUAAUUUGUAAAAUCAUAACCUAAUUUGAUGUUUAAUAGGCUUUUCUUUAAUCCCACCUUAUUAUCCAACAUAUUCACUUAUCCAACAUUCUGCCGGCCCGUUUAGCUUGGAUAAGUGAGACUCUACUGUAUGUAAGUUGGAACAGGUACAUUUACGUGUAACUCUAGCCCAAAAGCUAUAUAUUUUCAGUUUUGCAUAGCAUAGGGAAGGGUGAAUACCCCAAUGGUAUUUCUUUUGCUGUCUGUCUCUGUUGAGAAGAUUUCACCUCACCUUCUGUCCCUGUGAGAAUUGAAUUUUGACAAAUUUGAUUUGUUGUGGUGGGUUAAAGCCUUGUUACUUGAAGGUUGGGUAGCUGACUUGAAGCCUGCCAGGUUUGAAUCCAACCUGGGAAGAGCGCGGAUGAGCUCCCUCUAUUCGCUCCAGCUCCAUGCGGGGACAUGAGAGAAGCCUCCCACAAGGAUGGUAAAAACAUCAAAAACAUCCGGGUGUCCCCUGGGUAACGUCCUUGCAGACGGCCAGUUCUCUCACACCAGAAGCAACUUGGUGCAAGUUGCUCCUGACACGGAAAAAAAAAUGUUGUGGAAACAAGGACUGGGGAGCAAGCUUCAGUAGAGACCCCCUUUCUCCUAUAUAACUCUUUCAGGAAUGGAUUUCCCUUCAGAGGGGUAGAUAUUUACUUUAUUUAGCAUCAUUACACAUCUUUAAACAACAUCACUCAUCAUCACUUUAUAUCUUUAAGGCACUUUUAUUAUUUAUGUUUUGUCAUGAUGUAGAUGCGUAUGGUGAGGCUUAUCUGUUUUAAUUGUUCUUUGGUUAGUCAUGUAAGUUUAUAGGGUUAUAUUGAUGCUAUGUGUUUAUUGUUUUGAUCUGUUUUGGUUGUUCAUUACGGCAUUAAGAUCUACCAGGGAGGCCCUCGUCUUGGUCCCACCACCAUCUCAAUGUUAGAAUCAUAGAGUUGGAAGAGACCUUUUGGGCCAUCCAGUCCAACCCCAUUCUGCCAAGAAGCAGGAAAAUCGCAUUCAAAGCACCCCCGAUAGAUGGCCAUCCAGCCUCUGUUUAAAAGCCUCCAAAGAUGAAGCCUCUACCACACCCUGGGCAGAGAGUUCCACUGCUAAACAACUUUCACAGUGAGGAAGUUCUUCCUAAUGUUCAGGUGGAAUCUCCUUUCCUGUAGUUUAAAGCCAUUGUUCCGUAUCCUAGUCUUCAGGGCAGCAGAAAACAAGCUUGCUCCCUCCUCCCUAUGACUUCCCCUCACAUAUUUAUACAUGGCCAAGCCAUCAUGUCUCCUCUCAGCCUUCUCUUCUGCAGGCUAAAUAUGCCCAGUUCUUUAAGCCGCUCCUCAUAGGGCUUAUUCUCCAGGCUUUUGAUAAUUUUAGUCACCCUCUUCUGGACACAUUCCCACUUGUCAACAUCUCCCAUCAAUUGCAGUGCCCAGAAUUGGACACAGUAUUCCAGGUGUAGUCUGACCAAGGCAGAAUAGAGGGGUAGCAUGACUUCCCUGGAUCUAGACCAGUGGUUCUCAACCUAUGGGUCCCCAGAUGUUUUUGGCCUUCAACUCCCAGAAAUCCUAACAGCUGGUAAAGUGGCUGGGAUUUCUGGAAGUUGUAGGCCAAAACACCUGGGGACCCACAAGUUGAGAACCACUGAUCUAGACACUAUACUCCUAUUUACUCAGGCCAAAAUCCCAUUCGCUUUUUUAGCUGCUGCAUGACAUUGUUGGCUCAUGUUUAAUUUGUCCACAAGGACUCCAAGAUUUCCAAGAUGUUUGCCACUUUCGUUCUGGAAACUGCCCGAGUUUAUUUAUUAUGAUAUUUUUACCCUGCCUUUCUCCGCAGUGGACCCAAGGCAGCUUACACAUCAAAAACAUACAUUGCAAAAGUUGAAAACAUACUUAAAAUCACCUGUUCUAUAUAAGCAAUUAACACCCCCCCCCCUAUAAAACCCCUUCAACAUACAGGAAUUUAACCUUAAAACAUUAAUGCAAAGGUUGGUGGCCAGAUUACUAACUGGAGCUGGUUAUAGGGAGCAUACCAUAUUAAAGCAGCUCCACAGGCUGCCAAUGAGUUUCCAGACCCAAUUCAAAGUGCAGGUUAUUACCUAUAAAGCCCUUUACGCUUCGGGUCCAACCUAUUUCGAGACCUAAUCUCCUUCUGUGAACCAACAUGGGCAUUAAGAUCUACCGGGGAUGCCCUCCUCUUGGUCCCACCUCUGUCUCAAGUGCAGUUGGUGGGGUUGAGAGAGGGCUUUCUCGGUGGUGCCUCCCCCCCGACUUUGAAAUGCCCUCCAUAGGGAGAUCAGGCUAGCCCCCACUCUCCAAGCCUUUCGUACACAAUUGAAGAUAUAUUUUUUUCGUCAAGCCUUUGACCAUGUUUAGAAUCCCUAACGAACAUAUUUGAGGACCUAGAGAUUAACUCACUGUGCACUUUAUGAGAUUGAUAUUGAUGAUAGUUGUUUUAUACCUGGAGCUAUUGUUGCAUUUUACGUAUUUUAACUGGGGGGGGGGGGUGUUGUUGUGAUUUUUAUGUUGGUUGUUACUGCUUUUGUGUUACUGUCUUUGUACUUUUUGUAUUUCACAUGUUGCACCUUUGAGUGCCUUCUGAGCUGCCCCAAGUCCCAAGUUGGAGAUGGUAGUGGGGUAUAAAUAAAAUUGAUGAUGAUGAUGAUGAUUAUUAUUACUAUUAUCCCAGAUCUAAAUCAUAAGACUUUCUUAAAUAAAAUAAAGACUUUCUUUCUUAAAUAGGAAAGUCUUUACCCCCUUCUGGAAGGUCAGGAGGGACGGGGCAGAUCUUAAUUCUCUCACUUUCUGUUGUCUCACUCCUAUUCUUAACUGUGAGUCGUUAGUAACUCGGAGACUGCCUGUAUAUGGGUCUAUGCUGCCCAUAUCGUGCAUGGUAUGGCAGCCUAGCUCCAGCCUUGGUCCUCUUUCUCUGCCUUUUAUUCUCUCAUUCAUUCUCUAUUCCAACCCCUCGCCAUUUCUCCAACUCUCCCUUCUUUCGCUCUCUCUCAUCCCACCUAUCUUCCCACUUUCCCUUCCCACGUUUUCAUGCCUCGUAGAUUUUCCUUGGCUCUCUUUUGUUCUUCAUUUCUGUUUCCCCUCUUCUUUGUAGCUUGCUGUUCUUCUUCAUCCUUCUCGCUUUCUUCCCUUUGCUUCUCUCUAUUUUUUUUUUUUUUGUUUCUGUCAGGAACUUUUAAGAAAAGCUUUCUCUGUUCUUUUCUUUGGCUUGCAGUGUCAUAGACUUUCCCUCUCUAGGGUUUGGACUUUCCAUGCUCUGGUUUUGUUUAUUGGUUUACUAACAAAGUACUGGUUGUGCUGCCAAUCAAGGACUGAAUGAAGAUUCUAAAUCUUGAGGAACCAAAAUACAUGUAUCAAAGGGGUGGGGCAUGUUUGGCAGAAAAAGCUCGGAAAGGUGGCUGGAGAGAGUGAUUGCUUUGCUUAGUGGUCAUUUUAUGAGAGAAUUCUAUAUUGGGAUACCUAUAAAAUCCCAAGGAUAUUAUAUUUGAACUGAGCAAGUUGAACUGAACGGAAUGGUGUGACUUAAGUCAAUACAGACUACUAGCAUCCGUAGGCUGGUGUUUGUCCUGGAUGUGCUUUUUAAUGGGUUUUAUGUGGGACCAGCAUUUUAAGAACUCCGAGUUUCACUUUUCAGUGUAAACUUCUGAAUACUGGAAGCUUUAAGAGGAUGGAAGGCUCUGUCACUGUAUGAAAGCUGCCUCUGUCCAAAAGCUUGACAAGGUGAGCUGUAUGAGUUGGAAGCUUACAUAAUCUUGUAAACAGAAUUCCUCAUUUGUUUGCAUCCAAGGAUUGAUGCAAUAAUAUACAAGUUGAAGAGUCCAAGACUUAAACCAAGUAUAUUUAUUUAUUUAUUUAUUUAUUUAUUUACAACAUUUAUAUCCCGCCCUUCUCACCCAAGGGGACUCGGGUGGCUUACAAAAAUUGGCAAAAUUUAAUGACCAAAAUACAAUCAUAAAAACAAAACAAUAACAGAUCUAUUAAUAACAUUGUUAAAACACAUUAUAAAACCUUAAAAACGUAUAUAUAAUUAAUUCAAUUCAUCCGAGAUCCUCAUUCUACAUCCUUAAAUCAGUCCAUG
rnacentral:lncRNA from 1 species